UCGGAUAUGGUGUAACAGCUAACAUUACCGCCUUUCAUGUGCAAUGACCGACUUUACGGCGUAGCUUGGGGUUCGAUUCCCCGUAUCCGAA